rnacentral:rRNA from 1 species
AGAAGAGUGGCGAACGGGUGAGUAACACGUGGGUAACCUGCCCAUCAGAAGGGGAUAACACUUGGAAACAGGUGCUAAUACCGUAUAACAAUCGAAACCGCAUGGUUUUGAUUUGAAAGGCGCUUUCGGGUGUCGCUGAUGGAUGGACCCGCGGUGCAUUAGCUAGUUGGUGAGGUAACGGCUCACCAAGGCCACGAUGCAUAGCCGACCUGAGAGGGUGAUCGGCCACAUUGGGACUGAGACACGGCCCAAACUCCUACGGGAGGCAGCAGUAGGGAAUCUUCGGCAAUGGACGAAAGUCUGACCGAGCAACGCCGCGUGAGUGAAGAAGGUUUUCGGAUCGUAAAACUCUGUUGUUAGA